rnacentral:rRNA from 1 species
AGAGUUUGAUCCUGGCUCAGAACGAACGCUGGCGGAGUGCUUAAUACAUGCAAGUCGAGCGUGAGGGGAGCAAUCCCUGAAAGCGGCGAACGGGUGAGUAACACGUAAGUAAUCUGCCUCUAAAUUUGGGAUAACCCUGCUAACGCGGGGCUAAUACCGGAUGUGGUCAUAUUUUUGCAUGAGAGUAUGAUUAAAGGUGGUGAAAGCCGCCGUUUAGAGAUGAGCUUGCGGCCCAUUAGUUAGUUGGUGAGGUAAGAGCUUACCAAGGCAGUUAUGGGUAGCCGACCUGAGAGGGUGACCGGCCACAUUGGGACUGAGAUACGGCCCAGACUCCUACGGGAGGCAGCAGUAGGGAAUUUUGCGCAAUGGACGAAAGUCCGACGCAGCAACUCUGCGUGAUGGAAGAAGGUUUUCGGAUUGUAAACAUCUGUUGACGGGGACGUAACUGUUGUAUAUGAAAGUAUAUGAUACUGACGGUACCUGUUUAGAAAGCCCCGGCUAACUACGUGCCAGCAGCCGCGGUAAUACGUAGGGGGCUAGCGUUGUUCGGAAUCACUGAGCGUAAAGGGAGUGUAGGUUGGUUCAUAAGUUGGAAGUGAAAACUAGCGGCUUAACCGUUAGAUUGCUUACAAUACUGUGAGUCUUGAGUUUUGGAGGGGAAGAUGGAAUUCCUGGAGUAGCGGUGGAAUGCGUAGAUAUCAGGAAGAACACCCAAAGCGAAGGCAGUCUUCUGGCCGGAAACUGACACUGAAACUCGAAAGCCGGGGGAGCAAACAGGAUCAGAUACCCUGGUAGUCCCGGCUGUAAACGAUGGAUACCAGUUGUUGGGGGUAGUAAAGACCUCAGUGACGCAGCAAACGCGAUAAGUAUCCCGCCUGGGGAGUACGCUCGCAAGAGUGAAGCCCAAAGGAAUUGACGGGGGCCCGCACAAGCGGUGGAGCAUGUGCUUUAAUUCGAUGCAACGCGAAGAACCUUACCUGGUCUUGACAUGUGGAUGUAAGGUUGUAGAGAUACGACCCCUUUCGCAAGAAACAUCCAACACAGGUGCUGCAUGGUUGUCGUCAGCUCGUGUCGUGAGAUGUUGGGUUAAGUCCCGCAACGAGCGCAACCCUCGUCCUUAGUUGCCAGCACGUAGAGGUGGGAACUCUAGGGAUACUGCCCGGAAUAACCGGGAGGAAGGUGGGGAUGACGUCAAAUCAUCAUGGCUCUUACGACCGGGGCCAGACACGUGCUACAAUGGAUAGCACAAAGGGGAGCGAGAUUGUGAAAUUAAGCGAAUCCUCAAAACUAUCCUCAGUUCGGAUUGAAGUCUGCAAUUCGACUUCAUGAAGCUGGAAUCGCUAGUAAUCGUGGAUCAGCACGCCACGGUGAAUACGUUCCCGGGCCUUGUACACACCGCCCGUCAAGCCAUGAAAGACGGUAGUACCCAAAGCCGUUACUCAAACCUGCAAGGGGUGAUAAUGUCUAAGGUAAGAUCGUUGAUUGGGGCUAAGUCGUAACAAGGUA